GAUUGAACAAGAAACAGACAGCCAAGGGUUGUCAGGUCAGAAACAGAAUGACACACAAACACAAGAAACUUCACAGGCAGAUCAACAUGCAAUUUGAAGACGUGUGAUAAAAUACAGAGAGGUGAAGUAGUGUGUCUUUCCAGAUCCCCAAAUCAUUCCCCCUUAAAAGAUGAGCCUGAAGAGGAGAUUUGGGAACAUGCAGUUUCAUAAGUCGCUUUGCCAGAUCACCUGUGGUCGGGAUGUCUGCUAACAAGAUGCCUUGCUGGUCUGGGCGAGUUUAAAGGCUUACACAGACAGUCCAGAAGUUCUGAAGUCCAUCUUCGAUUUCAUUGAUGCUGUCAUCGUAUUAAGUACAGCAUGAGCCAGAAUAGAUGGGUGGUGGUGGCCAUAAGAAGACUGUCAACUAAACC